AACAUCGCGCACCUGCGGGAACCUGCGGAAGGAUCAUUAAAAAGAUCGACCCAACAUAUGGACGAUCAAAUCCAUAUCCACCUUGUGUGCACUUAUUGACCGUUCGCUUUGGCAGGAGUUGUCUUCGAUCCGGCCCAACCCCUAAAAUUUAUUAGGGAGGGGGAGGGAUCGAAGCGGCGAGGGGGAAUAGUCCACCUCGGCCUGCCAGAGUUUUUCCCUUUAAAAGGGAAAAGAAAUAUC
rnacentral:misc_RNA from 1 species